AAAACAGAAAAUUGUGCAAUCUGCAAAAUGCGCUCGAAGGAAACAAACAACAAAAUCAACAAAAUACAGUAUUUGUUACAGGGGAGCGCCAAUGAACUGAAGGUUCAGGGGAGGGAGCGACGGAUGGGAGUGGAGUGGCGACGACUGGAAGAAAUAGAACUUAAUUAGUGGAAAAUACGACGCACCGAUGUUGUUGAUAUGUGAAGAGAGAGAGGAUGGGGAGAAGCUAUAAGAGCUGUAGAGAGGGGCCAUCUAAAUGUCACCCAUAGUACCAUUAGGAAGUCUAAUUCGAUUCUGAUACACUAGCGCAAUAUAUUUAGAAGAUUCCAUCAUAAGAAAGGAAGUGCUCUCACAGAGAAGACAGAAGUGGGAACUUCUAGAGUUCACCUGAGGUUAAUUCUGAAUGGAUAAGGUAUUGGGUUGCUCUAUAAUUUUAUCUUUAAAUAUAUUAGCUUGGAGUAUAUAAUACAACGUAUAAUAUAAACUACAUGAUUCGAAGUACAAAAGAAUUCUUAAAUCAGUAUGCUUUUCAGUACAAUAUCAUAUUAAAGAAUUAUAGGUUUGUUGGACUUCCUGUCAGGUUUCUUUCAUUUGUCCUUCUAAUUUCUUUCAGUGCAUAGGAAAUAUUAAAUUUUAAGUUCACUUUUUUUUGCCUUGUUUUUGUGCUUGUGUCAUGUCGCCGCCUUGCCCCCAAAACGCCAUCCAUACAACACAUCAUCUAGAUUCGAGAACUUUGACUAUUUAUACGCACGCGCCCCUUUUUUUGUCCCGAGGGCUCUGCCGUGAAAAGCGUGAAAAUCGGUAGAGCGAGAUAGAUGCAUCGUUCACAUGUAUGUACAUAUGUAUGAACCAUAUGUAUAUGCAACUGCAACAUAUCUUCUAUUUUCGGCUGCGCUCUCAGAGCGUGACAAUUAUAAGAGAUUAUCAGGAUGUUGAGGGCAAGUCAGAGUCGAGACGCGUGGGCGACCACAAACGAUGCCGCCCACAACCCCAGGGCGCCUCUCCCUACCGCCUUGUACCCCGCAUCCUCUUGUCCCCCAGAGCAGGAGAAGUUGUUGGUUCGAUAAAAUAGAUAUAAAUAACCGAGUAUGUCCCGGCCCCAAGUUCAUUACUCCCUCCCCCAUGCCUCUCGCUUUUGGCACGUGCAAUAAUGGUUGUUUUUUCGUAUUUUAUAUUUUUUUUGUGGAUUCUCCUGCAUUCAAGGCGUCUUGCAUAAGAGAGAUCGAUGGAUGGAUGGGUGACGUCAUCUGCAGUCAGAGUCUGAACGGAUGCUGCUCGCUAUUGUGAUUUAUAGCAGCGACAAAUGGGGAUCGUAUGGUCCGACCAGAAAAGAUCGCUCCUCAAAAGUGCAUUCGCAUUUCAAUUCAAGACAGAAGCACAGCCACACAGCAAGAUACGAAAAAGAGCAGACGAAAGAUACUCAGAAAAGGAAAGAUGAAUAAAAGGAGUAAAACGAAUGUGGAAUACACUGCACAAUAAAGAAAGAGAUCAAGAAAGACAGAAAAUCAAAUUUUAGCGUGGUUUUACUUAGGCUCAACGAGAUAUCCACCGACUGAAGAUGACUAUAUCUUUUUUAUAUAUCUUCGGAAAAUUUCAUGAGCUACCUAAUAGACUCUCUAAAAAGUUCUGUCCUCAUCAGUUCAGCCAAAUGUGUCGCCUCCAACUCCCCUCCCAGCUGUUUAUUUAUGUGAACCGCCUGCAACACCAAAUGUUGCUGAGCUCGCCAAAUGUUGCUGCUGCCGUUGUCACAUGCAACUCCGAUGGCGGUUACCUUUUUUGGCGGACUUAUGCAACUUAUUCAAUACCAGUCGUGGAUCCAAUUCCCACUGUCCAGGAAACGAUCCACUUUGAUGUCUAGUCUUUAGGCUGAUUGACUGAUGGCCCGAAAGGAAGUCGCGCCAAAGACUACUUCAAUUUAGAAAUUCGAAUAUAUUCAAAUGGGGGGAAUUGGCAGUCAUUCUGCCCGACUUCAGAGUGGAAUGAAUGACGGUCUAAGCAGCCAAGGGUUCAGCAACAUUUGGCGGCGGAACGGGCGGCAGUGUCGGCAGCGGCGACGGCUUUAAAUAAAUCAGCCGUAAAGACAAGACAAACAAGAAAGGAAGUCCAAAGACGAAUACCGAAGCUGUUGAUACUCUUACACAUAUACAAAUGGGCAUGGCUGUAUUGACAUGAUCUGCUAUAUUGAUCAAGAUAUACCAUAAUUUAUGAUUUCAUCUCUUUGUGGCAAAUAUCUGCUCAAAACCACAAUACCCUCACCAAGCGAGAACGAAGAGAAGGGGAAACAGACAACCCAGAGCAGAAAAGGAGGGAAUAAGUUGGAAAAGAAUGGUGGCCUUUGUUGCUGGUAGCAGCUACACCCACACCCACCCACCCACACCGCAGCUAAAGCCAAAACUGGAGUGCAACUAUUUUUAAUUCCAUGCAAAAUGUGCACGGCAACAUGUUGCCGACAAGUCGCACAGUGGAUAUCAGGUGGCCCAAAUCAAAAAUCCUAUGAGCGGUUUGGAUAUUAAGAAUAAUAUUCA